rnacentral:rRNA from 1 species
GCUCAGGAUGAACGCUAGCUACAGGCUUAACACAUGCAAGUCGAGGGGCAGCAUCAUCAAAGCUUGCUUUGAUGGAUGGCGACCGGCGCACGGGUGAGUAACACGUAUCCAACCUGCCGACAACACUGGGAUAGCCUUUCGAAAGAAAGAUUAAUACCGGAUGGCAUAGUUUUCCCGCAUGGGAUAAUUAUUAAAGAAUUUCGGUUGUCGAUGGGGAUGCGUUCCAUUAGGCAGUUGGCGGGGUAACGGCCCACCAAACCAACGAUGGAUAGGGGUUCUGAGAGGAAGGUCCCCCACAUUGGAACUGAGACACGGUCCAAACUCCUACGGGAGGCAGCAGUGAGGAAUAUUGGUCAAUGGACGAGAGUCUGAACCAGCCAAGUAGCGUGAAGGAUGACUGCCCUAUGGGUUGUAAACUUCUUUUAUACGGGAAUAAAGUUAGCCACGUGUGGCUUUUUGUAUGUACCGUAUGAAUAAGGAUCGGCUAACUCCGUGCCAGCAGCCGCGGUAAUACGGAGGAUCCGAGCGUUAUCCGGAUUUAUUGGGUUUAAAGGGAGCGUAGGCGGGUUGUUAAGUCAGUUGUGAAAGUUUGCGGCUCAACCGUAAAAUUGCAGUUGAUACUGGCGACCUUGAGUGCAACAGAGGUAGGCGGAAUUCGUGGUGUAGCGGUGAAAUGCUUAGAUAUCACGAAGAACUCCGAUUGCGAAGGCAGCUUACUGGAUUGUAACUGACGCUGAUGCUCGAAAGUGUGGGUAUCAAACAGGAUUAGAUACCCUGGUAGUCCACACAGUAAACGAUGAAUACUCGCUGUUGGCGAUAUACGGUCAGCGGCCAAGCGAAAGCAUUAAGUAUUCCACCUGGGGAGUACGCCGGCAACGGUGAAACUCAAAGGAAUUGACGGGGGCCCGCACAAGCGGAGGAACAUGUGGUUUAAUUCGAUGAUACGCGAGGAACCUUACCCGGGCUUAAAUUGCAACUGACUGAACCGGAAACGGUUCUUUCUUCGGACAGUUGUGAAGGUGCUGCAUGGUUGUCGUCAGCUCGUGCCGUGAGGUGUCGGCUUAAGUGCCAUAACGAGCGCAACCCUUAUCGAUAGUUACUAGCAGGUCAUGCUGAGGACUCUAUUGAGACUGCCGUCGUAAGAUGUGAGGAAGGUGGGGAUGACGUCAAAUCAGCACGGCCCUUACGUCCGGGGCUACACACGUGUUACAAUGGGGGGUACAGAAGGCAGCUACACGGCGACGUGGUGCUAAUCCCGAAAGCCUCUCUCAGUUCGGAUUGGAGUCUGCAACCCGACUCCAUGAAGCUGGAUUCGCUAGUAAUCGCGCAUCAGCCACGGCACGGUGAAUACGUUCCCGGGCCUUGUACACACCGCCCGUCAAGCCAUGAAAGCCGGGGGUACCUGAAGUACGUAACCGCGAGGAGCGUCCUAGGGUAAAACUGGUGAUUGGGGCUAAGUC